rnacentral:rRNA from 1 species
AUUGAACGCUGGCGGCAUGCCUUACACAUGCAAGUCGAACGGCAGCACGGGAGCAAUCCUGGUGGCGAGUGGCGAACGGGUGAGUAAUAUAUCGGAACGUGCCCAGUAGUGGGGGAUAACUGCUCGAAAGAGCAGCUAAUACCGCAUACGACCUGAGGGUGAAAGGGGGGGAUCGCAAGACCUCUCGCCAUUGGAGCGGCCGAUAUCAGAUUAGCUAGUUGGUGGGGUAAAGGCCUACCAAGGCAACGAUCUGUAGUUGGUCUGAGAGGACGACCGGCCACACUGGGACUGAGACACGGCCCAGACUCCUACGGGAGGCAGCAGUGGGGAAUUUUGGACAAUGGGCGCAAGCCUGAUCCAGCAAUGCCGCGUGCAGGAUGAAGGCCUUCGGGUUGUAAACUGCUUUUGUACGGAGCGAAAAGGCUCUCUCUAAUACAGGGGGCUCAUGACGGUACCGUAAGAAUAAGCACCGGCUAACUACGUGCCAGCAGCCGCCGUAAAAC